CAAAUUAAUUUAUUCCAGCACUUUGGGGCAUGGAAAGCUUGGAAUUCCUUGGGAUUCCUUGGGAUGGAUUCCUUGGGGUUCCUCAGGGUGGAUUCCUCACGAUUCCUUGGGAUGGAUCCCUCAGGAUUUGUCAGGAUUCCUUGGAAUGGAUUCUUUGGCAUUCCUUGGGAUGGAUCCCUCAGGAUUUGUCAGGAUUGCUUGGGAUGGAUUCCUCAGGAAUUGUGAGGAUUUCUUAGGAUGGAUUCCUUGGGAUUCCUUGAGAUUCCUUGGGAUUCCUUGGGAUGGAUCCCUCAGGAUUCUUCAGGAGUUUUUGGGAUGGAUUCCUCGGGAUGGAUCCCUCAGGACAGAUUCCUCAGGACGGAUCCCUCAGGACGGAUCCCCCGGGAUGGAUUCCUCAGGAUGGAUCCCUCAGGAUCCCUCAGGACGGAUCCCUCAGAAUUGAUUCCUCAGGACGGAUUCCUCAGGACGGAUCCCUCAGGACGGAUUCCUCAGGAUGGAUCCCUCAGGAUGGAUCCCUCAGGACGGAUCCCUCAGGAUCCCUCAGGAUGGAUUCCCCAGGAUGGAUCCCUCAGGAUCCCUCAGGACAGAUCCCUCAGGAUGG
rnacentral:lncRNA from 1 species